GCCUUCGUGGUGUAGUGGUCAGCACGCUCGGCGCGUAUUCGAGAGGUCCGUGGUUCGAAUCCCGGCGGAGGCA
rnacentral:tRNA from 1 species